AUCACUUUCUCAGCCUUUUGGCUAAGAUCAAGUGCAGUAUUUGUUCUUAUCAGUUUAAAGCACGUGACUGGAAAAUCUCCGACAUCAGAAAUUAGGGGCUAUUGAUACAUAUACAAAUAGAAAAAUGGAUACAACUUAAGUACAAACCUAA
ensembl:snRNA U2 U2 spliceosomal RNA